GCCGGGUGCUCCCGCCCCUCUGGAGCUGGGGACGGGGCGGGAGCCGCGCAUGAGAGCCUGGGUUUCUAGUCGGGGGGCGCCGUCGAGCUCCACACCUGCGGCCUUCUGGGUGCCCCCAACCCUGGAGCCCCGGGGAGGGGGCACCCGGGCUGAGGCCUGGCCCUCCAAAGAGCCCUGGAGGGACUGCGCUACUGAGGCGCGGGGCUCGAUGGGGUGAUCUGGAGACCCGCGGGGAUCCGGAGCUGCCGCCCCUGCGCUGCCAACCUCCCACCCCGCCCCUUCUGCGAGGCGUUAUUAAAGGUCUGGUUUCGGGAGCCAGGUGCGUGCCCGCCGCCGCCGCUCACCGCAGCCUCCAGGCAGCUCCCGCUGCUCCCUGAGGGCACCAGUAUUGGCCGACCGACCUGGCUUGGGGCGCGGCGCUGGCGAACCCGGCCUUCUGAGGGGACGCCACGCUGACUCUAGUGCAGGCAGCCCCCAAAACAGUAUAACUGGACAAAUUUCUUGAAGGAUGCCAGUUACCAAAAAAGAAAAUACUAAUGCUCAUUAUCUGUUAAAUUUGAGAUCAAUUUGUUAUCAAGUAUCCUCACACAGAAAAUUCCAGGCCCAGAAGGCCAAGCUGGUGAAUCCUACUUAGAGAAGAAAUAAUAGGAAUCCAGCCACUCAGACAAUGGACGAGGAGGGGCCACUUCCCUGCUCGAUGUAUGGGCCAGCAUUGCCUUGAUAGCGAAGUCAGACAUCACCAGACAGUAGCACCACUGACCAAUGUCUUUCAUGAACCAAGACACAGCAUUUUAAAAAAUUAGCAAAUGGAAUUUAUAUCUGCCUAUUGUUUACAAAAAAGCCGAACUUUGUAAAAUACUUGAAGAGAUUUAUUCUGAGCCAAAUAUGACCCAUGACAAAGCCUCAGGAGGUCCUGAGAACUUGGCCCAGGGCGGUUGUUUUACUACUUGGUUUUAUACGUUUCAGGGAGACAUAAGACAUCAGUCAGUACAUGUGAGGUGUGCAUUGGAUUGAUCCAGAAAGUCAGGACGACUCCAAGCGGAAAGACCUCCAGGUCAUAGGUAGAUUCAAAGAUGUUUCUGAUUGGCAGUUGGUUGAAAGAAUUAAAUUAUUAUCUGAAGGCCUGGAAUCAAUAGGAAGGAGUGUCUGGGUUAAGAGAAGGGGCUGUGGAGACCAAGGUCCUUAUUAUGUGGAUGAAAUCUCAUAGGUGUCCACCCUUAGAGGCAAUACAUGGCAAAUGUUUCCUAUUCAGACCUUCACAAGGCACUAGACUCUCAGCCAGUCUCCUCAGGAUCAGAAAAAGAGCUGGAAAGGGAAGGGGAGUCUACAGAAUAUGAAUUUCCCCACAAGACACAGCUUUGCGGGGCCAUUUCAAAAUUUGUCAAAGAGAUAUAUUUUGGGGUAAAAUACAUUGAUACUUUGAGGGCCUGCUGUCACGUGAUGCUAUACCAGCGUCAGAUCGGAACUUGGUGUCUUGCUGCUGUGGAGUCUGCUCUGUCAGUCUGGUCAGCUGCACCUGAACUCCAAAGGGAGAGACAGGAGACAGUAAAAGAAAUGGUCUCUCUCCUCCGUCAGAAUGGAGUCCCGAGCUCCCAGAAAUGCCAGGUGAUGGACAAACGCUUGGGGAAAAAAAAAAAAAAGGAGACCUUAGUCGAACACAAAAGCAUGAGCUUUAAAA